rnacentral:rRNA from 1 species
UGGGGAAUAUUGCACAAUGGGCGCAAGCCUGAUGCAGCCAUGCCGCGUGUAUGAAGAAGGCCUUCGGGUUGUAAAGUACUUUCAGCGGGGAGGAAGGGAGUAAAGUUAAUACCUUUGCUCAUUGACGUUACCCGCAGAAGAAGCACCGGCUAACCCCGUGCCAGCAGCCGCGGUAAUACGGAGGGUGCAAGCGUUAAUCGGAAUUACUGGGCGUAAAGCGCACGCAGGCGGUUUGUUAAGUCAGAUGUGAAAUCCCCGGGCUCAACCUGGGAACUGCAUCUGAUACUGGCAAGCUUGGGUCUCCUAGAGGGGGGUAGAAUUCCAGGUGUAGCGGUGAAAUGCAUAGAGAUCUAGAGGAAUACCGGUGGCGAAGGCGGCCCCCUGGGCGAAAACUGACGCUCAGGUGCGAAAGCGUGGGGAGCAAACAGG